GUCUCCCAGUAGCGCAAUGGGUAGCGCAUUGGACUUCUAAUCCAAAGGUUGCGGGUUUGAAUCCCACCUGAGGUG